UACAGAGGGGGCAAGCGUUUGUCCGGAAUUAUUGGGCGUAAAGCGCGCGCAGGCGGUCCUUUAAGUCUGAUGUGAAAGCCCACGGCUCAACCGUGGAGGGUCAUUGGAAACUGGGGGACUUGAGUACAGAAGAGAAGAGUGGAAUUCCACGUGUAGCGGUGAAAUGCGUAGAGAUGUGGAGGAACACCAGUGGCGAAGGCGACUCUUUGGUCUGUAACUGACGCUGAGGCGCGAAAGCGUGGGGGAGCAAACGGG
rnacentral:rRNA from 1 species